AUUCUUUUAGAACAUUUGCUUUUAAAUUCAAAUGCAAUUGUAAGGCUCAAUUGCCAACUUUUGUCGAUCAUUUUAUUUCUUCUAUGAAGUAGAAAACUUUUGUAGUGUUAAUUAAUGGCAUGUAGUAGAGAUUUUAAGUAUUCUGUGUUUGCAAAAAAUGUGCUAUUUAUAAUUGUGUGAUUGAUUUUCUUUAGCUUAGUUAAAAAGAUCCUCUAUAUUGGUCAAAUGGUCAUGGAUAUGCACCUGAAAAAAAUGCUUAUUUAAUGGAAUUGGUUGUUUUGACCUAUAAAAAUUGUUCUUCUCAGGUGCAUUCAAAUGACCAAUUUUUUUUGGUCAUUUUGACCAAUCUAUUUUUACUGUGUAGAACAUUGGAUUCCAGGGUUAGAAAAUUACUUGAUCAUAAAACUAAAUGGCAUUUUCAAAUCUUGAAAAAGUUUGACGUAAAAUAAUAUUAAAUAUAUAAUUUUAUUUUGACUAUGUUGAUUAAAUCUACUUCAUUCAGUAGCUAAAUAAUUGCAGGCUACCAACAUGUA